AUGUUUACUGCACUUGCCUCUAGCAAGUUAUGGAAUUCUGUGCCACUCAAGUCCUCUAUCUGUUGCAAAACUGUGCAUCCCAAGAUGGUGCUCUUGAGCUGUGGUGGAACAUCUUCAGACAGACACUAUGGGACCCACAAUGAAGCAAUUGAGAAAAAGGACACCCCUAAAGAACCACCAGGGUGCAGCAUUCCUGAGUGGCAGAAGCCAUGCAGGAAAUCGCAGUAUGUACAGCUGGCACUUUGAAGAACAAUGAAUUCCUUCAAGGCUCUAUGCAGGCAUUUCAAACAGUGGCUACCAGACAGGCUUGGCAUAACUUAGACUCAGUUACAGCUAGAAUUAUUUUAUUUCUGGGUAGGUAACUGAGAGAAGCAGGAAUUGUGCAUUUAUCUCAGUAUGGUUUUAUUUUUAAAGAAUGAAACAGCAACAAAUAGAAACAACUGCGCAAAGAGCAUAGUUUCUUCUAAAAUAAAGAUUAUAUUAGAACACUCCAAAUGGGGACACAUUGUCUGACAAGAGGUCAGAAUAUCAGAAAAUGGAAGUGUCUUACUUAAUUAAAUAACCCUGAAGUAAUUUAAUUUCAUGGGUAAGUGAGACUUUUAAAAAGGGUUAAACAAAAGCCAAAUCCCUAAGUAGAAAUAUGUAGCCCGAUCGCCUGCAAAAUUGUUACAGAUCUUUGUGUUUUAUUUUCACAGAUGCUGCACCUUAGUCCAGGGAUUUUUAAAGUGUGGUUCCUGAAAGAGCUGUCUCAGAGUCAUCCGUGUUGAUGGUGUAACGUAAAGAUUUUCGGGCCUCAAGACUGAAGUAGGACAAGGAAUUUGAAUUUUUAAGCAGCUCACCUGACUUGUCUGUCCUCUAAUAUCUGAGAACACCUGACUUCUGCUCUUUCAGUAAAGGCAACAAUGGUUUUAUGAGCACUGUCGUCACAUCUCUCCACUCUAGGGAUCCUUCUCAUUUCUCCCAGACGAGGUCACCCACAGCUGCUGCUUCUAACUGCUGGCUUCCAGCCUGCUGUCUGCCAGCUGGCUCUACCCUCUCCUAUAACACAGCAGAGAGUAGCUGUGAUCUCCUGUGUGCUCACCCUCCGCUCCCUUGGGUCCAUGUUUUGGUCCUGCACUUAAAUUUUACAAGCAUACUCUCUUUCUCUUAAGGUAAGCAACCAUUUUAAAUCUCAGCAGUAAACAAAACAAAAAAUCACCAGGAAACUAUAUCAAAUCAGGUUUUUUUGUUUGUUUUUUGUUUUUGUUUUUUUUUGUGUUUUUUUUGUUGUUUGUUUGUUUUUGAGAUGGAGUCUUGCUGUGUCACCCAGGAUGGAGUGCAGUGGAGCGAUCUUGGCUCACUGCAACCUCUGCCGCCCAGAUUCAAGCGAUUCUCCUCUCUCAGCCUCCUGAGUAAGCUGGGAUUACAGGCACCCACCACCAGGCCUGGCUAAUUUUUGUAUUUUUAGUAGAGAUGGAGUUUCACCAUAUUGGCUAAGCUGGUCUCGAACUCCUGACCUCAAGUGAUCCGCCCACCUCGGCCUCCCAAAGUGCCGGGAUUAUAGGCAUGAGCCACCACGCCUGGCAUCAAAGCAAGUUUUAACCAGCCUUUUUGUCCACUGAUAACAUAAAGGAGGUCAGCAGCAGCUAAUUCCUGUGCCGGUAGAGCUUUCUUGUCCUUUCACACUGCAAGAUAAAUAAUCACUUAGCUAAGAGGCCAAUUUUACCUUUUUAAAAAAAAUUUUUAAAUGAGACCGGGUGCAGUGGCUGACUCCUGUAAUCCCGGCCUUGGGAGGCCGAGGCGGGCAGAUCACUUGAGGUCAGGAGUUCAAGACUAGCCUGGCCAACAUGGUGAAACCCCAUCUCUAUUAAAAAUACAAAAAAAUUAUCGAGGUUUGGUGGUGGGCACCUGUAAUCCCAGCUACUUGGGAGACUGAGGCAAGAGAAUCCCUUGAACCCGGGAGAUGGAGGCUGCAGUGAGCCAAGAGUACACUACUGCACUCCAGCCUGGGCAACAGAGCUGGACUCUGUCUCAAAAAAAAAUUUUUUUUAAAUGAGAGCUAUAUCUUAUUAACAAAAUUAAACUAUGUUUGUUUUUGGAGUUUUAUUUUUGUAGCAUUUACAGAAAUCUGUUAAGAGCUUCUUAAUUAUAAAAAUAAGUUAAUAACAUAUUUCUCAAAUUGACUUAUCAAUUCAUUGUCAUUGUGGAUGAAAUUACUUUAUAAUCAAUUACCAGAAAGAAACCUGAUUUGAUUUCAGCUCACCCCCAAUAUUCAAGGCACUUGGAUUUUUGGUCUCCGCCCAUUUAUUAUGUGGUCUACUAAAAAUAGACCACAUCCUAGGAGUUAGGAUUCCAAGAACAGUUUCCACUUAUUACUCACUUCUUGAUAUUUAUGGAACUAGUCAUUUCGCAAAUAUGAGCUCUACUCUCCAAUCUUUAGAAGAAAAAAGAAAAUAACAAUAACAACAAUAGAAUUUCAUUCUCUCCAGAGAAUUAGCAAUGAAACGAGAGUGGAAAGAAAGCAAAUGGGAAUGUUAGAAUUGGGGAAAAUGUAAUGCAAAGCCAAAUGUGAAUAGGAAUUACAGUUGACAAGAGGGGAAAAGAGGGUGUGGAGGACAAAUAUACCAACAGAAAACAUGUAAAGUCAAUAGCAUGCAACCUUUUAAAAAAUAAAUGUUUUAAGUUCAUUUUGAUAGUGGAUAGGACAAGAAUAUUGGCACAUUAUGAAAAAAGACAUGACAAGACUAUGAAUAAAUUUUAAUGAAAAUAUAUAAGUGGAUUACCCUCUAUUAUAACACCAGAGGCCACAAAACUAUAGGAAGCAAAUUCUUCACUAGAAAAUAUUCUUCACAGUCUCUUUUAAUCAUGAUGUAUACAUCUUCAUU
ensembl:lncRNA